GGGAGCGUGGAGAGCGACGGGUGGAGAGAGAUGGAGGCGAUGGCGACUGUGUGGGUGGAAGUGGAAGUGAAGUUGGAGAUAGAUUUGGGUGACGGAAAUGCCCCUGUCCGUGUGUGUGUGUGUGUGGGCCCGCACGUGAUUCAGUAGAAAGUCGUGAUGAUGAUCGAUGAUUAGGAUAGACCGGUUUGGCACCUCCUUGUCGCCCCACUCGUGUGCUUGGCUGUCUAUUAUGAAGAGAAAAGUGUGAGAUUGAAA
rnacentral:lncRNA from 1 species